GACGAACGCUGGCGGCGUGCUUAACACAUGCAAGUCGAACGGUGAAGGGAUCAGCUUGCUGGUUCUGGCUGAGUGGCGAACGGGUGAGUAACACGUGAGUAACCUGCCCCCUUCUUCUGGAUAACCGCAUGAAAGUGUGGCUAAUACGGGAUAUUCUGCGCCUGCUGCAUGGUGGGUGUGGGAAAGAUAUUGUUUCGGUGGGGGAUGGGCUCGCGGCCUAUCAGCUUGUUGGUGGGGUGAUGGCCUACCAAGGCGGUGACGGGUAGCCGGCCUGAGAGGGUGGACGGUCACACUGGGACUGAGACACGGCCCAGACUCCUACGGGAGGCAGCAGUGGGGAAUAUUGCACAAUGGGCGCAAGCCUGAUGCAGCGACGCCGCGUGAGGGAUGGAGGCCUUCGGGUUGUGAACCUCUUUCGCCAGUGAAGCAGGCCUGUCCCUUGUGGGUGGGUUGACGGUAGCUGGAUAAGAAGCGCCGGCUAACUACGUG
rnacentral:rRNA from 1 species